rnacentral:rRNA from 1 species
AUGAUUUGGGUAUUGUUCAUAAUGCAGUUGGCUUCACAUGGCACCCGAGAUGACGAAGGAACACAGCUGGUGCCCCUUUGUGACCGGGAAACAGCAUCAGAUUCGCAGGAGAUAUUUUCACAAUCUGACACCGCAGGAAGCUCCACUGAGUAUCUGGCCUCAUGUGAAAUCAAGCCAUUGAUUGUUGAGGAUGAAAAUCACAAUAUCGAUGCGAAUGAAGAUACCCAUCUUGUCAUUCAAGACUUUCCACAAUGCCGGAUUUGCCUUGAUAAUGAAGGUGAUGACUUGAUUGCGCCAUGCAAUUGCAAGGGCACACAAAAGUAUGUCCAUAGGUCCUGUCUUGAUAACUGGAGAUCAACAAAGGAAGGUUUUGCUUUUUCACAUUGCACUGAGUGUCGGGCAGCAUUCUUACUUCGUGCAAAUGUUCCUCCAGAUCGAUGGUGGUUAAGGCUCAAGUUUCAACUUCUGGUUGCUAGAGAUCACACAUUGAUCUUUUUCAUUGUACAACUGGUUGUUGUUUUAUUGGGUAUGCUGGUAUACAGAUUUUAUGGAGAUGAGCUGCGAGAAAUGUUUGGCUAUGAACAGCAUCCUUACGCUUUUUAUGCAUUGGCAAUACUGGCUGUCAUUUUGGUUGGUUUGCUAUAUGGAUUCUUCAUAGCUAUAAUAUGUGGACAGAGGAUCACCGAACGGCACUACCAUGUUCUUGCAAAGCAAGAGUUAACCAAGGAGUAUAUAGUAGAGGAUCUUGAAGGAGCUGAUCCAGUGGCAGACCUUGAUCCUAGCCAUGUCACGGAGCUGAGGACGCUGGGGCUCUAUUGA